GGCGGUCCAGCGACGAGGCCGAGCUCAGGCACUUCCCGCAGAUGCUGCAGGAGUGGUCCGUGGCGCCGGCGUCGGCGUUGUGCUGCGGGGCGACAGCGCAGGAAGCUGACACUCACAGGAGUCACAAGAGAGCGCUUCGCUGCUUCCCUCAUGUGCGAGAGAGAUUGAUGGACCUUCUCGAUGACCCCCCUCCCUCCGAGGCCUCCGUCUAACACUCAGCUGCCAUCACCCAUCCUCCACCGCUGUCUCCCUGCAGGACUUUGCCCAAACUUGUUAACAGUCUCUUAUGAAACCAAACAGACCCAUCCUGCUCCUACGGGGCUCUGCACUCACACAGAUAACAGCUCUCCACCUCUCCUGUCUCCAUCCUUUUCCCUCUAUGAAACCAUCUUUUCACCCCCCCACCCCCCGUCUUGCGUAAUCUUGGUCUCUCAGCCUCCCCCCAGCUCGGUUACACAUUGACUGCUGUGUUUGCGGUGGAGCAAAGUGGAGUUUAGAACCGCCGUGAUAAAGUGUAGAGAUAGCAUCAGCCGUGCGCUGGCUCCACUGUACGGCAUACCGCAGCCAGGGAGGGGGAGGGAGGCAGCUCGGCCAAUCACAGAGCUCCUCUUAGAGGGGGAACGCUCCGCCGGCUCCCAGCCAAUCAGGAGCCAGCUUCCUCUGCUCCCAGAAACCAUCUCUCUGUGAGCAUCUUACCUUUAUUUAGACUAAAGGGCGUCCAAUGUGUGGCCCGCGGGCCAUUUGUGGCCCUUGGAAGAAUGAUGUGCGGCCCCCAAAAUGCAAUUUAAAAAUGGUGCAGGGUUGAUUAACUAGAAUUAAUGUAAAGGAAUUUACUGGACAGGUGUCUCAGUAAAUAUAAGUAAAACGUCUAUUAGCAAGUGAACACUACUGCUGAAGUCAAAAUUCUGAAAUUGUUAACUUUUCAAAGUUAAAUUCAUUUAUUCAAACAACUAAAAUUAAAGUAAUAAAUAUUAAUGCACAACGGCUUACAAUUAAAUCUUAUUCCAGCAAAAAAUAAAAUAUUUAUUCACUAACUUUC